rnacentral:rRNA from 1 species
AUGAAGAUACCUCUUAAGAAUAAAAUCUUUGCAUGGUAUCUUCGUCGCGGAGUCAUUCUUACUAAAGACAACCUUAUUAAAAGAAAUUGGCAUGGUAGUCCGCAAUGUAUCUUUUGUCACCAUGAUGAGACAAUAAAAUAUUUGUUCUUCCAAUGCAAAUUGGCUCGUUCUAUAUGGUCAGUCAUCCAGAUAGCUUCUGGCUUGUAUCCUCCUUGUAGUGUUGCUAAUGUAUUUGGCAACUGGUUACAUGGGAUUGAUCACAAGUUUAGAACUCUUCUUAGGGUGGGAGCGCUUGCCGUUAUUUGGUCGCUUUGGCUAUGUAGGAAUGAUAAGGUUUUUAAUGAUAAAAGUACUUCUCUGAUGCAGGUUAUCUACAGAUGUACCGGGACUCUUCGUUUAUGGUCCUCUCUACAACGUGUGGAGAAUCGAGACCUGUUUAUGGAGGUGUGUACACGAUUGGAGGAUACGGCGAGGGUUACUUUUACCCAACAUGGGUGGCAGCAUGAUCUUAGGAUUGGCCCACCUCCGUUUUAG